rnacentral:rRNA from 1 species
AUUCCAGCUCCAAUAGCGUAUAUUAAAGUUGUUGCAGUUAAAAAGCUCGUAGUUGGAUUUCUCGCGCGAGGGCUUGGCCGCGGUCUCACGACCGUCGCGCCGUGGCCUCUCGCGCGUUCCUCGGCCGGCUCCGUGGUGGCAUUAGGUUGUCGUCGCGGGAAAGGCCGUCGUUUACUGUGAAAAAAUUAGAGUGUUCAAAGCGAGGCUUAUGCCAUUGGAUACAUUAGCAUGGAAUAAUAAGAUAGGACCUCGGUGUUUUUAUUUUGUUGGUUUGCACGCCAAGGUAAUAAUUAAUAGGGAUAGUUGGGGGUAUUCGUAUUCAAUUGUCAGAGGUGAAAUUCCUGGAUUUAUGGAAGACGAACUACUGCGAAAGCAUUUACCAAGGAUGUUUUCAUUA